AAUAUUAACUCCUUUAUGCACAUCAGGUAGAACUUUAUUAUGACAGAUACUAGAAAUGUACAAAGUGAAGUUAAAAGGUAACUCCUAGCAGCACAUCUUACUCCCUGGAUUCUCUAAUGAGAUGGGUGUUUCUACUUUGCUGUUGCCUUUUUGAAUAGUUCAAUUCUCACAUUAGUACUGCUGUGUGGGAGGGAGUAUGUGUGAACAGAGUAAGAGUUGUGACAAUCAAGUCAUAGAAUAAAUGCUUGGAAAUUUUAGAAUCAUGUAAACAGCUUAUGGAUUGAGUAUAGAUUCCCAGUGCUGUCAGUCUCACCCGUCCUACUAUCCACAUAUGUGGAAUGUUCUAGGACUCCAUGGCUUUUGAGGAUGUGGCUGUGAACUUUACCCAGGAGGAAUGGGCUUUGGUAGAUUCUUCUCAGAAGAAUCUCUGCAGAGAAGUGAUGCAGGAAACCUGCAGGAACCUGGCUUCUGUAGAAAUCAUGUGGUACAGAGACUGUGUGAAAGCAAAGAAGGUAGACAGUAUGGACAAGUAGUCAGCCAAAUUCCAAAUCUUGAUCUGAAUGAGAACAUUUCUACUGGAUUAAAACAAUGUGAAAGCA